UUCUAUAAGUAAGCCUGUGAGCGUCUUGGUUAUUUUCAGUACGUAAGUCAUGUGUCAAGAACAUUAGUUCAUGUCUAUAGAAGUGGUAGAAGUGUAGAAUUUUUGAGCUGUCCUUUGCAAAGAAAACGACCAGUAGGGAAGCACGUAGUUGAGAAGUGAGUGGAGAAUGUUUUGUUUACAAUAUGCAUCCCUAAGGAUGACAUAUUCUCAAGAAGGUGAUUUUUUGAAAGGAUGUCACUAUUCAAGGAUUUUAACUUAAGAUUAAUGGACAGACUUUUUUUAUAUUUGAAAAAAUCACAAAGUACCUCAGCAAGCUGACAACCAAAACAGUGUUCUUGUUGUUUUGGCUAUAUCGUCCCACCUACAACUCUCGCUCCUACGCCCGCUCAGCGUUGCAGCUUUCCGUUACAAGGCUAUCGUUCUUAGAACAUCGUCUUCUUAUCACGCUCUCUCGCUGUCUCCUCUCUGCACCUUUCUUCGUUGGACAGGUCAACUUCCGUACAUACCGAAGUGACCGAUGCCGCUCCUAGCACCUCCUCUUCCGCACCGCGACCACUUACCGAAGUUUCACCUUGCCUGGAACAGCUGGCAGCACCAACGCUUCUGCAAAUGUUCCGAAUCCCGAUGAGUUGCCGUUAAUGUCUGCCGUCAAAAAUCAUCUGUGCUUAAAUUUCAUCAUAUAACAUUUUUGCUCCAGACUGUUUCCUGUCAGAUGCUUUGAAUCCUUCAUUAUCGCCUACUGACACUAUUUUACAUGCAUCUCUGCCUAAAAACUCGAACCAAACUCCCAAUAUUACCGGUACAAAAACUAGCUUGCUUUUGUACCACUAAUUAUCAAAACGUACGCAGUCUUUCGGGUAAACUCAAACAAAUUCACACUAAUAGCGCGUUAUUUGACUUUUAUGCCUUUGACCGAAGCCUGGCUUAACUCUUCAGUUUCUGAACACGAAGUCUUUGUUCAUAAGAGCUCUACUUAUAGAACGGAUCGGUUGCGGUAUUCAAAUAUGCGGAUGCUCGAUCGGGGCUCUGCUGUAUGCAGAUGACAUUGUGAUCCUCGCCGAAUCCCCCGUUGAACUGCAAACAAUGAUUAAUGCUCUGCACAAAUACUGUUUGUUAUGGGGAUUGUUAGUAAACACCGAGAAGUCGAAAGUUCUGAUUUUCAAGAGGCAUUGGAGAAAGCUAGCACAAAACGAAAAGUGGAAUUUGGGGUCUAUUCAGCUAGAAAUUGUCAAGUCGUAUAAGUAUCUGGGAGUCUGGAUUUACCACAACGGUCGUUUCAACAACCAUUUACAGGAGAAGCAAAACUAGCCAUAAACUGCACAUGGAAAUCGCUGCUAGGAAAAAAGGACGUUCCAAUGAGUAGCAAGUACAAGCUGUUUAGUGCAGCAAUGCGGUCAAUCCUUUGUUACGGCGCGCAGGUCUAGGGCACCUCACCUUAUGAAGAAGUUGAAAGCCUCCUAAGAUUGUUCUUAAAGAAAUUAUUUCGUCUACCCAGAUGUACUCCGAACUGGAUGCUAUAUCUUGAAACAGGACUGUCGCCGCUGCAUAUCCUUACAGCUGAAAUGCAUUUCAGGUAUAUCCAGAAAGUGGUAACCAUGCCCGAACAUAGGCUGUAACGAAUUCUAGCGAACUUUUUGAUGCAGGAGCGUAAGCAAUGGGUCAUAGAAUGGAAGACGCUUGUCGAGACCUACGGAUAUAGGCUACAGUUAGGCGAUCCUUCACAAUGGUCGCAUUGGGCGAUAAGUAUUCUAGCACAUAUGGACGAAAUCUAUAGGACUCAGCUCAAAAUGGAAUCAAGGAGAAGCACAACUCGGAUGAGUCAUAGGUCCCUUAAUUAUGAUUUGGGACUUGAUAACUAUUUUACUGACGCUUUCACCGUUGAGAGGAUUCGUAACAUUUUCGUGGCCAGGGGAGAAAUCCUCCCACUAAGCUAUAUCCCAACCGUGACAGCCAGCGACCGAUCUGUCCGAUCUGCAAUAUGAGGGAGCAGGAAAACGUCGUGCACUUUAUAGGACGCUGCCCCAUUCUACGGGAGUUCCGCCUGCUGCAUUUUGGUAAGGCACAGUUGCAACCGAAGGAUGUAUUCAAUUCGCUGAAUGGGAAAUGUUGAUCAACUGUCUACAGCUACAUCAACCAGGUUCUAAAGUACCGAAACAACAUUUUAACGAAAAUCUUUUAAACACUUCAUAUUAUAAAUCAAACACGUAACUCAGCUCACCUAGUUGUUAAACUGAUUGUUAGAACGAUCUGAUAUCUGGGGAAGACCCGGGAGGUCAGGUGUAGUACACUGUGCAGUUUUGACACUGGGAAAGCGGAGAUCGACAGACGGUUAAAAUAACCAGGUCGAUAUAUUUAAUUUCCUUUUUUAAUUCUUGCUUAUAUAAGAAUUUGUGAAUCUUUUUAAUUGUACACUUGAAA